CCCGCUGAACUUAAGCAUAUUAGUAAGCGGAGGAAAAGAAAUUAAAAAAGAUCCCAUUAGUAGCUGCGAGCGAACCUGGGUCAGCUCACACUUGAAAUCUCUGCUGGUUUACUGGCGGCGAAUUGUAGUUUUGUGAACAGCUUCGGUUGUGCUUAGUCGGUCAAAGUAGUCUGGAAAGGCUCUCCAUAGAGGGUGAAAGGCCCGUGUGAUCGGUCGAGUGCUGCCAAUGGAGUUGUUUCUGUGAGUCGGACUGUUUGAGAGUAUAGUCCUAAACGGGUGGUAAGUACCAUCUAAAGCUAAAUAUAAGUGAAAAACCGAUAGUAAACAAGUACCGUGAGGGAAAGUUGAAAAGGACUUUGAAAAGAGGGUCAAAAGUGCUUGAAAUUGUCACGGCUGAAUGGAUCUUAGCGGGCGCCAAGUCUGGUCAUAAUCAACCUUUUGUGGUCGGGAAGUUGGGUCUAUUGAGAGAAAUCCGGUAGGCUUAAUUUGACGGCUACUUUGGGCGCACUUGUGGUCGGACGGCAACGAAAGUAAUUCGGAGCUCAGAAUGGGUUCGUAUCGACUGUUUUACGAAAGUUUAGCAGAAAAUGCGGACGCACCACGACUUUGUCUUACUUAGGGGCUAAUUUAGCACCGGAGGCUUGGAUUUCUGGGCCCUUCGUCGACGAGAUUUUGGUUUAUUAUCGAGGAAACUCGGUGGUAUUCCAGGGUCGAAUCGGCGGAGUCAGCCAAAGAGCCUCCUCGUCGUUGAAGUCAACUCAGAUUCUCCCGUCUUGAAACACGG
rnacentral:rRNA from 1 species